GACGAACGCUGGCGGCGUGCCUAAAACAUGCAAGUCGAACGGGGGCUUCGGCCCUAGUGGCGAACGGCGGAGUAAUACAUAAACAACGUGCCCUGAAGACCGGGAUAGUUACUGGAAACGGUGGGUAAUACCGGAUGUGGUUCUUAGAGGACAUCCUUUGAGAAUUAAAUGGUUUUUCGCUUCAGGAGCGGUUUAUGGCCUAUCAGCUAGUUGGUGGGGUAAUGGCCUACCAAGGCGACGACGGGUAGGGGGUCUGAGAGGAUGAUCCCCCCGAGUGGGACUGAGACACGGCCCACACACCUACGGGUGGGCAGCAGUUGGGAAUCUUGCACAAUGGGGGGAAACCCGUACGAUGCAGCGACGCCGCGUGGAGGAUGAAGGAUUUAGGUCUGUAAACUACCUUUUUCUAGGGAAAGACUUAGGACGGUACCCUGAGAAUAAGCACCGGCUAACUACGUG
rnacentral:rRNA from 1 species